rnacentral:rRNA from 1 species
UACGUAGGGGGCAAGCGUUGUCCGGAAUCAUUGGGCGUAAAGAGCGCGUAGGCGGCCCGGUAAGUCCGCUGUGAAAGUCAAGGGCUUAACCCUUGAAUGCCGGUGGAAACUGCCGGGCUAGAGUCCGGAAGAGGCGAGUGGAAUUCCUGGUGUAGCGGUGAAAUGCGCAGAUAUCAGGAAGAACACCCGUGGCGAAGGCGGUUCUCUGGGACGGUACUGACGCUGAGACGCGAAAGCGUGGGGAGCGAACAGG